rnacentral:rRNA from 1 species
AACGAACGCUGGCGGCAGGCCUAACACAUGCAAGUCGAGCGAAGCCUUCGGGCUUAGCGGCGGACGGGUGAGUAAAGCGUGGGAGCGUGCCCUUUGGUACGGAAUAGCCCCGGGAAACUGGGAGUAAUACCGUAUGUGCCCGUCGGGGGAAAGAUUUAUAGCCAAAGGAUCGGCCCGCGCUGGAUUAGGUAGUUGGUGGGGUAAUGGCCUACCAAACCGACGAUCCAUAGCUGGUUUGAGAGGAUGAUCAGCCACACUGGGACUGAGACACGGCCCAGACUCCUACGGGAGGCAGCAGUGGGGAAUCUUAGACAAUGGGGGAAACCCUGAUCUAGCCAUGCCGCAUGAUCGAUGAAGGCCUUAGGGUUGUAAAGAUCUUUCAGUGGGGAAGAUAAUGACUGUACCCACAGAAGAAGCCCCGGCUAACUCCGUGCCAGCAGCCGCCGUAACAC